CUAACAACACACAACAUUCCAGGAAUGUACUACCAAAGUUCUAUCAAUAUUUGAAUGUCCUGGACAUUUAGGGAACAUUCGGUGAACAUCUGUUUAAAUUAUUCCUGGAAUGUUACCAUAAGACAUUCUGUGAACAUACUACCAAUGUUCCUAUAUUUUAAGUUGCGAAAUAAUACAUACGUGUAAGAGAUACAACAUUACUUAUAACAUACCAGACAAACUAAGUGACAUUUUAGGCCUACAGUGCAAUAAUAUGUCAAAUUUAAAGAGUUUCCCAAGAUUAUAAACAUACAAAUGUAAUAAAAAUUAUUGUUCGCGAAUAUUCAAUUUGGAAUGCGAUUUUGUUAAUAAAAAAAAUACUUAUAACUUAUGCAAAACCCAAGAGAGGCAUUUAUAUUUAUUUCUUUUGCGUUCAUUUUCAAAUUCGCCGUGCAUAUAUUUUUGUGCAUGGCGCUUGAGAGGGCAUCACGUGACUAAAAACGACCAACCAACGACCUCGCUUCGGCCAUCUUGGCAUCUUCAUCUUGGCGACCUUGCCUUGCCGUGGAUUGUUUUUAGUUGUUUGUAUUAUUUGUACUUUUUAAGAAUAUUUUUUUAAUUCGGAUACUUUUAUAAUAGCUUUAAUAGUAUUAUUAACAUAGUGCAUAAAAUGGUGUCCUGUUUUUAACGCAGUUGGAGUAGCAGAAACAAAUGUAGAUAAAAAAAUCUGCAGGAAUAACGUUUCAAUUAUGACAGAAGCUCAAAACAAAUGACUGUGAAUGAAAAGCCCUAUUAAAAGCUUUCCAGAAGAUCCUGCGAAGAAGACAUGAAGUAUAGAUCAGAUUUGUUAAUAGAGGAGUAUGUUCAAAACACUUUUUAGAAAAAGAUAUUGACAGAACUUCACUUUCAUCUGUUCGUUUGAGAGACUGUGCUGUUCCAAUAGCUUAUGUCACACAGAAUCAGCUGAGAGAAGUGGUCUACAAAAAACCAGAAAGGAAACGGAAUAUGUGGCUACGAAAAGCAAAAGAAAGGUUUACAAAGCAAAUGUGACACAUUUUUUUAUAAUAUUUAGGAAUGUCAGCAAAUUACAUUAAAAAAUGUAUGUAAAGAUUUUUUGCAAUAAAAAUGUUUAUAUUUA